AGGAGGAACAACCCCAGUGGCGGGGCCAGCUCUGGAGCCCUGGAGUCAGCCCCCGCAGUAACUCCGGAGCUCUCGGUCUGCAGGGCCUGGAGGCUCGGGGCGGG
rnacentral:pre_miRNA from 1 species